UUCCUGAUAUUUUUCGUUUUUGCAGUAUCAUGUGAUCAGAAGGCAGACUGAAAACUACAAGAGGAAGGUGAAGCGCUCCCAGGAGGUAUACAAGAAUUUGCAGCAGGAGCUGGAAUACAAGAACCUGCAGCAGGAGCUGGAAUACAAGAAUCUGCAGGAGGAGCUGGUCAUGCGCGAGGAUCCGGUGUUCGGGUUCAUGGACAGCCCGGUGCUGGGCGGGUGGGACGGCGUGGCGGCGGUGGAGAUGUGCGGCGGCGGCGGCGGCUCGGUGGACAUGUACGCCUUCGGUUUGGUGUCCGGCCAGCCCGACCUGCACGGCAUGGCCUACGACAGCUCCCACUACCCGCCCUUCGGUUAAUCAGUCGUUCCUGGCUUAUUUUAUCAAGUUAAUUACAUGUGUGUUUACAAUUUUGGUUGAAAAUUUUAGAGAAAAUGUUAUGUCAACAUUGAAGAAAUCCAGUUUUUUUCUGAAACAUAGAAAUUUGUUUUGUCAAUGCUGGCAUGGGAAUAUGUAAGACAUUGACGAUAUAAAAAAAUUGUAAUACGAUCACUGCAGGAAACGGUUUAGGGUAA